GGCACAUAGCAUGAAACAACUGCCCUUGUUAGAGCAUCUCGUGAUUUUCGAUUGCAAAAGGCUCAAUUCACUGGAUGGAAAUGGGGAAGACCACGUUCCAGGGCUCGGGAAUCUACGAGUUUUGAUGCUUGGAAAAUUACCAAAGUUGGAGGCACUGCCAGUGUGCAGCCUCACAUCCCUUGACAAACUUAUGAUUGAAGAAUGCCCUCAAUUGACUGAAAGAUGCAAGAAAACAACAGGGGAGGAUUGGCAUAAAAUCUCUCAUGUUUCAGAGAUAUAUAUUGAUGGCGUCAAAACACCAGAAAAUUAAGCAAGGAGAUCCACUCAGAGUGAUGAUGAAGCCUAACAUGGAUUUGAGCAAGACACAUUCUUUUUUCCUUUUUUUCUUUUUGCCUUCAAGUAAAAGCAGUUUAUUCAUCAAUUGGGGGAGUGUUAUUGAACAAAAGUCUGGAAUCUAUUUAUUUUCCGUAAAUAUAAAGGUUAAGCCACUUCUCUUCAA